GAGUUUGCUCCUGGCUCAGGAUGAACGCUGGCGGCAUGCCUAACACAUGCAAGUCGCACGCACCUUCGGGUGAGUGGCGGACGGCUGAGUAACGCGUGGGAACACACCCUACACUGAGGGAUAAGCAUUCGAAAGAGUGUCUAAUACCGCAUACGGUCUUCGGAUUAAAGUUUUAUACGGUGAAGGAGUGGCCUGCGUACGAUUAGAUAGUUGGUGAGGUAAUAGCUCACCAAGUCAACGAUCGUUAGCUGGUCUGAGAGGAUGAUCAGCCAGACUGGAACUGAGAACGGUCCAGACUCCUACGGGAGGCAGCAGUGAGGAAUAUUCCACAAUGAGCGAAAGCUUGAUGGAGCAAUGCCGCGUGCAGGAUGAAGGCCUUCGGGUUGUAAACUGCUUUUAUUAGAGAAGAAUAUGACGGUAACUAAUGAAUAAGGGUCGGCUAACUACGUGCCAGCAGCCGCGGUCAUACGUAGGACCCAAGCGUUAUCCGGAGUGACUGGGCGUAAAGAGUUGCGUAGGCGGUCUUACAAGCGAGUGGUGAAACUCAUGGGCUCAACCCAUGACCUGUUACUCGAACUGUGAGACUCGAGAAUAGUAGAGGUUACUAGAAUUACUAGUG
rnacentral:rRNA from 1 species